rnacentral:misc_RNA from 1 species
CGUUCCAAGUUACACGUUGUAUAUACCUCAGUGUUAGUUCGUCACGUGUAACACUUAAGUGAAAACUCUCUUUUCCUAUCUUUCUCCUUUCUACGAAUUCUCGAUUGAAAAAGAAUUUUGAAUAGUGACUGUAUCUUCACUUCCCUGUUGAACGUUUGAUGCAAUAUUACGUCUUUCAAUUAAAUUGACAACUCAUCAGUAAGACGCCAUACGUGGAAGUUGGAAAGCCCUGUUAGCUUUAUGAAACAAGAAAUGUAACUCUUAACGAAAAAAGGUAGUAGUUCCUAUAAAUUGUGUAAUUUAAGGCAACAGCUUGACUGGCAACCAAAUCGAAUGCUGGCGGCGAGCCACUGCGAAAGUAAAUGGGUUUCGCUUCCAGAGAAUACGAUUAUCCUCCACAAAGAACUUUCGUUCUAUCCAUCAGCUUCUGUCCCACGAUUCGCAUAUACUCGCAAAUCACCGUUCUUGAAGAACGUAAAAUUCAGUCACAACCGGGAUAAUAGAUGCUGGCACUAAUGAACACUGCAAAGCCUGAUUUCCUGGAGAUCGACAAUGAUAAGUUUAAAACCAUCAUGAAAAUAUCAAACAAUGACUCGAUUGAACAAAAAAAGGAUUAUUCCGGAAACGAUGAGGAAUCUUCGAAAACUCUGCAACUUCUACGAAUUAAAGGAUUUCCUCGCUUGUUACCUGAAGGAAUUGAAACGUUAGUCAAUUACUGCCAAUACCUACAAGAAUUAUCACUGUCUUAUUCAUUGCUUAGCGACGAAUUAUUGAUAGCCUUGAGUUCUGAGAAACAGGUGCAAUUGGAAACCCUACGAUUGGAAGUACAUCCGGAGACAAAACCAUUACCUCGAGUCAGCGAUAAAGCUUGGUUUACAUUCUCCAGUCAUUUGCCGAACAUAAAUCUUGUGCUAUUGUCUUACAUGACGAACGAAGACGAUCAAAGUCCCUUGUUCGCGCCGUAUGUUCCUAUAACACACUUGUACUUUGGAGAAGCACCAUCAGAAGCAACUGCGUUAUGUAUUGGCCAUCAGUGUCCUCGAUUGAUCGAGUUGGUAAUUGCAGCUUAUGGACCUGGUUUACUUGAUCACGCAUUACAAUGUGUCGCUCAAGGAUGUCCACGUCUAAGCGCCGUGGGUUUGGGUGAUUGUGAAAUCACUUGCUCAGGAUUAUGGCAAUUUGUUACACGCUGUACAAAACGUUUGCAAAUAUUAUACGUUUGGGAAACGUCAUUAAUAGAGGAUUCUGAAUUUGACGUCACAAAAGUAUCAAAGAACAUUUCAUUGCACCUUGGUCGUACUUGGGUACCUGAAUACAUACCAUUAUGUUGAAAUUUAAAGAAUGACCGAAGCAAUUUAUUACGAUGCAAAUUUACUUAAUGACCGACAAUAGUUAGCGCAUAUACCAGAAAUGUUUCCAAUAAUAUUAGGAUUGCUGUUUACAAAAAAAGCCUUUCAGAAGACCAGAUCUUAUAAUAUGAUUGAAGUAAAAAAUAUUUAUACCUUUCAAAAUAUGGUAUUGCUGAAAAGGUAUUUAAUAAUCAUUAUGGGAAGAACAAAGGAAAAUGAUAAUUAUUAUAUCAUUAUUGUUCUCCAUCAAUUUAGAUCCACAUGAACGAUCCAACGUUACUCGAUGGAUCGGGCGCGAAUCAUUAAAAAAAAAAAAAAA